GCACAAUUCCUACCCGCUCCAAGCUUGGGUCUGUGGUGUAUGAAGAAGCAUUUGUUGGCUUGUUUGUUUUAAUCUUUCAAUAAUCUCCUCCUCCUCUUCUUCCUCCUCCUCUUCCUCCUCCUCCUCCUCCUUCUACAGAUUUCUUUAAUACAACAUAUUGUGAUUAUGGUUCUUCACUUAACUCUUUCCAGUCCUUCUCAUCUCUCCACCCACUGCAAUCUACAUUUUCUUGCUCUCAUUAAAAAACAAAGAGGCAUCUAAAAUAAUAAAACAAGUUAAAAUAAAAAUUAAAAAUCUGGAUAGGGCCAAUCAAAAAACCCAGAUAAACAAAGAAUAAAAGAAAAAGCAUAAGAAAUAUACGUAAAUGUAGAGACAUAUAUAUUAACACACAGAGAAAUCACCUAAAAUUACAAAAUCAGAAACCACAAUAUAUAAGUAAAGGACUCUACAAUAAGAAAAGAAAAUGAAAAAAAAAUAUCCUAGACAAAGAAUUAUGAAACAAAAACCCUCCAAAAAUACUAUUAAGUUUAUUUUGUGUUGGUGUCUACUGCUAGACAUAGAGUCUGGCCUUCACAGUGGUUUGUGUAUCCAGUGAGACUAUAUUAGAGAAACUAAGUUUUCAUCUGUGAGUAGUUAUCAGUUGGAGAUAACUUUUGGGUUAGGGAUGGGGCCUUGUGUGUACAGAUCUGGAACUUUGCUUGGCUCAGAAACAUGUGGGUCCUGUGUAUACUAACGCAAUCUCUGUGAAUUCAUAUAUGCAUUGGUCCCAGUGUGCUUAGAAGGCCUUAUUUCCUUAGUGUCCCUCAUCCUGUCUGGCUCUUACAAUCUUUCCACCUCCUCUCCCACAAGGUUCCUGUAGUUGUGGCUUUCUUUAAUCAUCCACAUCAACUGCAAAAAAAACCUCCAAAAACAUAAAAACUCUGAAAGGAGGCAUGAGAGCUCAACUUAUUUGAAUAUAAGGAUACAUAUUUAUAAUGUUGCUAGAAUCUAUACUGGUUUAGGAUAUUGGAAGUAGUAGCUUCUCUUUUAUAUUCCAUGUACUCUUCCUUUUUUAAAAAAUAUUUAUUUAUUUUAUGUAUACGAGUACAUACUGUUGCUGUACAGAUAUAGUUGUGAGCCUUCAUCUGGUUGAUGGGAAUUGUAUUUAGGACCUCUGCUCAUUCAGGCCAACCCCACUCUUUCCGGUUGGCUCCACUUGCUCAGUCCCUGCUCACACUGGCCCAAAGAUUUAUUUAUUAUAAAUAAGUACACUGUAGCUGUCUUCAGACACACCAGAAGAGGGCAUCAGAUCUCAUUACUGGUGAUUGUGAGCCACCAUGUGGUUGCUGGGAUUUGAACUCAGGACCAUCAGAAGAGCAAGUCAGUGCUCUUACCCACUGAGCCAUCUCACCAGCCCCCAUGCCCUCCUCCUUUGUCAUGAAUAAUUGGCUGUGUUUAUAGUGCCAAGCAAUAACUCCCUUCUAUUAAGUGAAGUGACUGGUUUUUUUUUAACCCCUCUAACGACAUAGGUUAUCUAACAAAGCCUAGUUUCAGGCAUGAGAGACUUCCUUUCAAGUUUUUGGUUGGGGACACCAAAAGGACCCCCCCCCCAAAAACAAUAUAUGCUGUGUCCAGUGCCCUUAGUGCCUUCCAGAAAAAAAGGUAAGAUUCCAUUGCUGAAGACAUCACAUACAUCAUACACUGGGUUUGGAGGAAUCCAUCUGAAAUUGAACUGGAAGCAUCAGUGAGAACUUGCAAUCAUAGUUUCAGGAGGAACCAUACAUGCAAGCUGUCAAUAGAUGAAAACAACAGCUUACCCAGAUGUAACAUCAAUGAACCAUUACAUUGAUCGACAUGGCAAGGUAUUCUUAAAGGUGCCACAAUGGCACGAAUAUCUUGGGGUACUAACACUAACAGUUGAUAAAUGGACUUGAUGAAAUAAACAGUUUUCCGCGCAACAAAGGACACCAUCACUUGUGUAAAGAGCCAGCAUAUAGAAUGGGGAAAAAAAUCUUCAUAAGAUUUACCUCUGUGAAAAGGUCAGCCUCUAGAAUAUUAAAAAC
rnacentral:lncRNA from 1 species